GAUGAAGAACGUAGCGAAAUGCGAUAAGUAAUGUGAAUUGCAGAAUUCAGUGAAUCAUCGAAUCUUUGAACGCACAUUGCGCCCCUUGGUAUUCCGAGGGGCAUGCCUGUUCGAGCGUCAUAUUAACCACUCCCGCUUGCGGGGUCUUGGGCUUCGCCUCCGGGCGGGCCUUAAAAUUAGUGGCGGUGCCGUCGGGCUCUACGCGUAGUAAAUUUUCUCGCGAUAGGGUCCCGGUGGAUGCUUGCCAACAACCCCCAACUUCUUAAGGUUGACCUCGGAUCAGGUAGGGAUACCCGCUGAACUUAAGCAUAUCAAUAAGCGGAGGA
rnacentral:misc_RNA from 1 species